UACGGGGGGGGCAAGCGUUGUUCGGAAUUACUGGGCGUAAAGGGCUUGUAGGUGGCCAACUAAGUCGGACGUGAAAUCCCUCGGCUCAACCGGGGAACUGCGUCCGAUACUGGAUGGCUUGAAUCCGGGAGAGGGAUGCGGAAUUCCAGGUGUAGCGGUGAAAUGCGUAGAUAUCUGGAGGAACACCGGUGGCGAAGGCGGCAUCCUGGACCGGCAUUGACGCUGAGGAGCGAAAGCCAGGGGAGCAAACGGG
rnacentral:rRNA from 1 species